rnacentral:lncRNA from 1 species
UUAUUAAGCCUUUAAAUUUUCCACUACCAUUCAAUCAGACCUUUAUAUUUUCCUGUAAUUAGUAUGGAUACCUCAGUUGAGAUAAAUACAAUCCCUCAAAAUCUUCAAAUCCCUAUAUUAUCAUUGAACUUAAAAUUCAAACACCCCUAAGUCCAUUUGGGAGGCGUAAUUUCAAACCUAGGGAUCCAAUAAAAUAUUGUAAAGGUAAAUUUCUAGGUUGGACUAUCACAAUGCAUAAAUUUUUAGAUUUGUAUGAAACAAAAAAGAAUAAAACUCAUCAGAUCCUUGGUUUGUAUUGCAUAUAGUAAUUUCAAAUAUAUUGUAUUUGAUUAUUUCAAAUAAAUUAUAUCUUAGUAUUUUAACUUUCUUCUAACUAAUCUAGGAUUAUUGUCAAACCCAAAUCCUUUCUUUCAAACAAAUAUACCUGAUAAGGCGGGGGAGAGAAGGAACUAGAUUAGUUAGAACUCUCCCUGCUUCCCUUUUCCUGCAAUCUCUCCCUUCCUCCAACAAAUCCAACACUUCUACUUUUACCGCCAUUUCCUUCAUUUCCUUUUUUUACAUCUCCAAAAAACUCCUUGUCAUUCUUUGUUUUUUCUGUUAUCCAUUUCAAAUUCUUCAUAACAUUGUAACCUUCCCAACCUUAAGUCUUCUCACUAGCCCACCAUUCUUUAAAGCAUCUUCUGAACGAAUGAUGUUCCAGCCACAUAUUUUCAAAUAAACCAUACCUAAUAAGCCAAGGGAGAGAAGGAGGUUGUGGGAAGAAUUAGCCAGGAUGUAUGUGCUGUGCGGGCCAAAAUGGUUCAUUGGAGGGGAUUUUAAUGUAAUGAGAUUUACCACAGAAAAUUAUAGUGGAGGAUGGGCGACGAGGAGCAUGAGGAUUCUUAAUGACUUCAAGCCUAGUUAACAGUCAUGCAAAAAUAAAUGAAAUAAGGAAAAAUGUACUGCAUUGUAAUUGUAUUUAACCAUUUAUCAGCUGGCCCGAGCAACAGAUUCUAACUAUAACAUGAAAUGUAGUUCCAGCACAGUCUUAUGGACACCAAAUCAUUAAGGAUAUGAAGUUAAGGGAAAAAAAAAUUCUCUUAACCAAAUAUUGAUAUUAAGUAUAUACUAUUCAAUGGGAUGCUAAAAUUAUGCAGAGCACUAAAUUCUUACCAUUUUCCAAACAUAAGCGAUCUGCCUCUUCAGCACUUUCGUACAGAAGGACUCUGUCCAAAAUUUCAACAUUCCAAGGUGACCAAGGCUGCUUAGAUUCCUUUAUUUCCCUUGCGUUUUUGACUGGAUAUCCAAUGCCUGAAUCGAUACACAACUGCCGACAUCCAAUAACUUCAACGGGAAGAAAAUUUGAUGAGACUGAUACAGAAGGAAGCACCACUGAAAGACCACCUUCUGUCACCAAAUAAAAACAUCCCUGGAAUGUGCAACCCACUGCCUCUCCAAUAAAGGAUUCUUCCUUCCCUUGGAGAUGAACCAUUUCACACCCACUAUUCAAAAAGUUGUCAUCGUGAACUGCAGGCUCAGCAUGCAGAUUGAGAUGAACGAUCUGAGAACCCCUCGGGUCCUUCAGAUUGUGGUUCUUAAUAAGCCGAGUAAUUCCUAAUGGAGAAAAACAGAUAGAAUCAUCCUCACUAAAUCUAUAAGUGGGAAGAAAGAUCUUGCGCAUCAGGUGUGAUUUCUUUUCAGAGUCGUAGCACUUCUGAUCAGUUACUUUUGAUGAAGCAGAAAAACCACUCAAGCAUGAGCUGCCCUUCCCUUCUUGUUUAAGCACAUUAUUUCCACAAUCAUCCAGGAAAGAAGAUCUCUCAUUCUUCAUGGAUGGAAUAAUAGAUUUCUGUGAAGCAGAUAUGUUAGAAUAUACUCUUUGGUGGCCUAUAUCAGAACCACCCACCUCCCAAGCAGCCAACAUGCCUAGUCCUAGAUGUUGACCAUGUGGAAGUAAUUUCUCAUUUGUAUAAUACUUGUCCGGUAUAUAGUCACCAGCAGAAAUCACAUAUAUUACACCAAAAUCAUCAACAGCAGCUAUUAGGGAGGUAUGUGAAGCAGCAAUUAACCUCUUAAAUAUUCUUCUACCAGAAUAAUCACCACAUUGCAAAACUGGUUUGUAAUCAACUCCAUCAACUUGCAAACUAUGUUUCUCAGAACCCACAGACACUGUUUCUUGCUUCUGAAAAUCCAGCUGAGGGUAGAGUCCUAGAGUCUGUAAAAUAUCUAGAUGUGCAACAUACUCACCUGACAUUACUGCAUAAAAAACAAUUAAGCCAGAUGCAUUUAGACAAACAAGAAGGUUGUCAGAAAAGUGAAAGUCUAUCCAUUCUACCACUGAGCGAAUUUUUGGACCUUCGUCAAGCUUCACUGAGGAAACCCACUGAAUUCCCCAACGGUCUAACCUAGCAACAAGAAGUACAUUUUUGUUGUUGCUUCUUUCACUUUCAUCACUAGCAGGAUCAGUCUGUGUGAAAACGAAUCCAAUAAAGUAAUGUGAAUUGCUUGAGAACACUCUAGAGCAUUUGUAUGAAGUGUUCAUUCCAACACCAAAAAUAUUAGACAAAAUCUCAGACUUGAAAUGUUGACCAGAUGAAGUCAAAUGCAAGUUUACAGAUUUAUCACUCUCUGACGUGUGACCUCUUUCCUGCCCGCACCCCAUACUCGGUACGGAACCAGUGUUAGAAAGGAAGUCCAGAAUCGGUAAAUUACUAUUAAAUAAAGCAAAUGAAACAACCUUUGCAGAGCAAGGAAACAAUGACUUUUCCGGGAACCUGGUCAACAUGCUACCAUUAUAUUCAACAUUUUCAACUUUCGUCAGAAAAGAUUGCAACCAUCUCUUAGAAGCAACACUGUUUCCAUUGGCUCUGUUUAAAUCAAUAUUUCCAGUGGCUUCACAACUCAAGCUGCUAGGUUCCUCAAUAUCCAUAUUAUCAACUAAAGAGACAGAGGGCCCCCACUCCACCCACCUGCCUUCCAGUGCGUUUCUGGUACCUGCAGUGUUUCCAGUGGAUUCAACAAAAGCAUGGACCAUCACACCUUGCUUGCCAGAUACAAACAAAAUUUCACUAAACAAAGCAUCCUUGUGCUGAUUAUAAGUAUCCUCACAGAUACCCCAAGCCAGAGAGUUAACAUCACCAACAAAAGGGUAAGUUUUGGAUCUUGAAAUUUCUCUUUGAAAAGUGAAAUCAUUAUCAAAAUCUAGUGUUGAUCCAGAGGUACAUGGCAUAUCACCCCUUCCUGAAUCUGACCCGCCAGGUGCUGUCAAGUCUUGUGAGCAGAAAGCAGAUGAACCUGGACUCUGAAGACUUUCAUCAGAGUUACUCUCCAAAUUAUUACUAGCUGUAGAGUUCCCUGCAAAAACAAUCAAAAAAAGUGUGAUAAUACAAAUUAAACAAAACUAUGGCAACACAAUAAAGUUAUGAAAAUUCACCUGUAAUUAGAGGAAUCAACAAAGCUUCACACUGAUACGAAAGCAAUAAUAAUAGCUGUCUUGUCGGAGAAAUAAAAGCUUCACGAAAUUCUGACAGGUUUAGCUGGGCCUGAGAAGAGCCCCAUUUGUGCAGCUGCAGUAUAGCAGGUCCCUUAUCACCCAAAGACAAAUCCAUUGCAAUCCUCUAAGUAAAAAAAAAAAUCAGAAAAUAAGUAUUUGGGUGCAAUUAUGAACAGAGAAAAAGCAGGGACAGAAUUAGGAUACCAAAUCUAUUGAAUAGGCAGAGCAAUAAGAAGAAUACAAAGAUGGAGAAAGCCUCUUUAAUGUCUACAGGAUAAUUAAAUUUUGGGUAUGCACACGAUGGUAACUUUUCAUUCAAAGAUGAUAGGGGAGAAAUGAAAAGGAAAGAAAAACAAACGAAGAGGAAAUUUCCUACUGCAAGAAGAUAAUGCAUGAACAAGAAUGUUUUCCUCUGAGUGUGUAUGUGUAACUUUUGAGAAAAGCUCGAUUGAACUGAAUCCUAAACCCAGAUAAAGCCUGUUACCUGUUGCCGAUCCGAUUACCUAUUCAUAGGAUUAACCAGAAGAGAAGGAAGUUAGGACCGGCUGAAAGAAGGACAGCGGGGAAAGUUCUCUAACCUGGGAAAAACCUUAGAAUCCGUCUUUUUUGGACAUAAAUUUAUUUACCCUAUAUUCAUCUUCAUAUAUAUAUAUAUAUAUAUAUAUGUAUGUGUAAUUACCGCAACAAAUGGUUGGACCCAAGAUUAUGCAAAAACCUUCAUCAGAAGGUCUUCUUUUCCAUUUCUAUUUUUCCUAAUUACUAUGGUUUAAUCUUCAUAAUCUAUAUAGAGCGUUUUCCUAUUGUUCGGAGCAAACCAUUUUCUUGGCACCCAAACAGAAUAAACAGCAACAAAGUUUGAAAUCCAAACUAAAAUACUAAGAAAUUAUAGGUUCAAAUUCCAAUCUGAGUGAUAGAAAAGGUUCGAGAAAGAACCGGAAGCUUGUACGGAUUGCUUAAUUAGCGAACGCCACCAUCUCUACGACUCGAAAAUUCUCUGUCGCUUUCUCUAGGUUAUUCGAGCUCUACAAUUGGAGGUGAAAUCUUCAAUUUCUCAUAUAGGACACUGGACAUGGAGGUUUUGGAGCUUACAGUGGGGAGCGAGCAAACGCCAGAGAGGGUACAGAGAAGAAGGGGAGAGGAUCUGCUGUGCCCAAAUUGUCUCCCCUCUAUGUCCUUUGUUGUAUAAAAUGUUGCCACGCGUCACUCUAUUUAACGAACUCAAAUCCCAGCAUAACACUGUUUCUUACCCCGUGUUUUAUCUUUGGGGAAAGUUGUAAUGACGCCACCGUUAGUAUGUUUGUUCUUACCUGUAAUGUUGUUCUUAGAGCAACUCCACCUAUUUGUCAUUUGUCAUAGCGACGAGGGGGGGACAGCCAUUAUUCACGUAGAUAGUUGCUGCCUUUGCAAAAGGUUGUGGUGUUUCCACCAAUUGUCAUGGCAACAACUAUUCAUAUGAGAUAUGAGGAGAAAAAUUUGUAUAGAAUUUUGGUGUGGAAAGUGAAAACUACAACUAAGUAUUUAUUUUAAAAAAAAUUUGUUGUAAAUAAUAAGGUGGAGCCCACCUCCAAUUGGAAGAGGCUUUGCCUACAAAAGGGUUCACACCCUUCCUUUGUAAAUACACAUAUGAGAAGAGUGAAAACAUUCAAUGAAAAACAUCAGAUUUCUAUGCUUGAUCUAUCUCAAUUCCCUCUCUCCAAUUCCUCUAAAUUUAUAACACGUUAUCAGCACGAAUUCGCUUUCAAAUAUACCAACUGAAAUCUCUGAUGAAACCCAGAUUCUUUCCCCUACCUUCCUCCCUCUCUUGCCAUUUCUUCAGCUUUCCUUGUAUGUCUCUGUGUUAGAGAGACAGAGGGAGAUAAUAGAAAAUUGUCAAGCAAUUGAUGCAGCAAUUUUGGUUAUCAACAUCCAAGUGGAAAAAAAAAAAAAUUUGGUCUGUGAGUGCAAGUGAGAUCACGAAGACCAAUCCUAGCCACUAUGUUGAUCUGCUCAUCUCCACCACCUUGUGCCCCUCCAAUCCUAACAAAAAUAGUGAUAAAAUAAUAAAACCCUCUCUCUCUCUCUCUCUCUCUCUCUCUCUCUCUCUGAGUUUUUAUCACUCUGUUUCUGGUGGAAUACAGACACACAGAACGGUUUUCGGACCUGGGUUUUGGUCAGGGAAACUUGAAGAAACAAAGAGUGAGUUCUUUUGGGUCUCUUGCAUACACCACAAUGUCGGUUUUCAAAGAUGAAGAUCCUCACAUCCAUGGCAUUAAAACCAAGAUUCGGGUCGUCCCCAAUUUCCCCAAACCUGGUAUUAUGUUCCAAGAUAUCACAACUUUAUUGCUGGACCCAAAAGCCUUCAAGGACACAAUCGAUUUGUUCGUUGAGAGAUACAAAGGCAAAAAAAAAAAAAAAACAUUUCAGUGGUUGCAGUAUCAACCACUGUGUGGCCACCGUUCCUCAUCUCCUUUAAUAAGCUGGCCAACCUUUUGCUCUCUUCUGCAAAUAACACAAGGCUUACAGAGCUGCAAUGGCAGAAGCCUCCGCUCCGAUAGCCCCCCCAACUCUUUCUCAGAUUAUUCAACAAAAGUAAUGGGGAAGAAGAGAAAGCACAGCGAGGCUAAGGCUGCGACUCGAGAAAAGGAGGAGGAGGUCGCUCCAGAGAGGCCUAAACGAACGCUUUCCGGUUGGAAGGAGAAUAAGGAUGACCAAGUAAACCAAACUGAAAUCAGCGACAUUCUUUAGGGACAAAGAGAAGAUGCCCACUGGAAGCUUUUGAAGGAAAUGACCACUCAGCAAGGGCACAGCUUUGGGUGCUGAGAUUAUUGGCACAGCACCCUUCUUCUCGUCCACAAAUUUUUCUUAGCCACUGACCCAAGGAAAGUGCUAAAGCAUCUUUUGAUGAGAACAGCAAAACCCACCGAAAGAAUAAGCGAUAAGAUCUCUGCUCCCUCAUCUUCUCUAUUAUUUUAAUAUUAUAUAAUUAUAUUGAUCAUAAAAAGCAAGUAAAGGUGUACAGGAGAAACUUGUGCAGGUUCAUGUUCAUCCAUUUUAUUUACGAAAUUAUGGAGCAGACAAACGUGAAGGCAGACUAGCACUAUGGUUUGUCUCAACUUUUCUAGUUACAUAUAUUAAUGUAAUAAUAUUAUGUUGUUUCCUAUUUCCUCUAGUUUUGAGAGGAAUUCCACCGAAAAAAAAAGGGGGAGGCAAUUCAAGUUGACAGCAUAUAUAUUAUUUGAUCGUGGUGUUGCUAAGAACCCACAAAUAAUUGUUGGUUUCACCCUUUUAUAUUUUUAGUGGUGGUUUUAUCUCCACAUUUAUUUUAGGGAAAUAUGCCGAUAUAAUCACUUUUCACAAGUGGUAUUCUGAAAUAAUCAGGUUACAAAUUGUGUUCUGAUAUAAUCACUUUUGAACGUGAAAUGACCAAACUGCCCUCCAUAUAAAAGCACAUGUAUUGGGGAGUUAUUGGCCUUUGAUUGGCGACCUAACGCACCUGGCUUCUCUCCCUUUCUCAGCGCUCAGUCACGGUUCUCUUCCUCUCUCGGCGGUUUCUGUGUCCAUCGACCACCACCACUCUAUUUCUCCCUCUGUCACGAAAACCUAAGCAGCACUCUGUCGUUCUCUAUCUGCAGUCAAUGUUAGGGUUUGGUGAGGGGGCUCUUGACGGUGAGAGAGAGGGUUUAAUCGUUAAAUGCUCUCUCCCUUAAACGAUGUCUCAGUUCCCUCUAAGUUCGAGUCUUGAAUCGACGUCGUUCUCUUCUUCUCUGCUCCUUCAGGGCCUAAAAAAACCCUAAAUUUUGGUUUCGGUUAGGACUUUGUUCACAAACGUCCUCCUCCUUCUCAAUCCUGUGAGAGUCGGUUAGGACAAAAGUCGCGAUUUGCUGUAGGUGUUGCUGGGAUUUCGAAUUCGGUUCUGUGCAGAGAAGGAGUGAUUCUAAGGUGGGUUUUGUAUUUGUUAUUGACUAGUUUGUGUUUUUGUAUGGUUAUCAUUUGAGAAGGAUAAUUUCACUAACCUCUGACUGAAUUUGUGAAGUUUAGUAAUUAGAGAGAUUGCAAUAAUAAUGUAAUUUAACUGUGAAGUAGAUCAUGCUGGGUUGAAACUUGUAUUGGUGUAUUGAUUUUGCUCUAUAGACGAUGCAGUGCCUCAAAUUGCUAUUUGUCAUAUAGGAUUGGUUCGUUUGUGAUGCUUGUUUUCACUUCCAUUUUAUGAGUCAUAUUUAGUGUGGGAAAUUAUUCUGGUGGCAAGGGCUAUUCCAUUAUAACACACCAUUACCUCAGUAGGCCCUGAAUUAGGUGUUGAGUAAUAAUGCACAAGUAAAUUUGUUGGUAUCAUUGGUGUUUCAGCACGUAGUAGCAUAUUUUGCACCCUUCCAGUGUUAAUGGUUAAUUAUGUGAUUUUGAAAUACUAAAGUUAGUUGGCGUGGAAAUUUUCUGUUCCCUAUGGUAUAAAACCUGCUAAAUUGUGUUGUUAUUCCUUGCUUGCAGCUUGUGAUAUAUGUCUGAAAAUGGUAUUUUAUGGGGCUUCAGUAUCUGUUUAGAAAUUGCAUGUUCAUCCAUCUAGGUUUAGCAGUUGCAGUUGCAGUAACAUUUUGACGUGUCUAGUUUGCACACAGAGUCCAUAACUGUGAAUACUGAUGUUCCAUGUGUGGUACUGUAUUGCAUAUGCGCAAUUAUAGUAGGCAUUGAUGCAUUUGGAGUAAUUCUUGUAGCCAUUUCGCCCAAACCCUGUAUGAAGUGGAUCCGUGGUUGAUGAAAUUGUUUUCAGACUUGGGUGGUAUUUGGUUUUUUGAUGGAAUGGGAUGUACAUUUGGCAGAAGGGAAUGUAGAUAAGAGGAGAGUGUGGAGAGAGUUGGAGAGUAGAAAAGAGGCUUAAAAACAUUUAUGGUUUUGUCAUAUGUAUAUACAUAUAUCAAAAUGGGUUGAAAGUAUUAGGUUGAGUAAUGUACGUAUGAAAUAUGGGUAACCAAUGAUCCAUAUGUAUGAUGUUGUUGUGCAGGGAACUUGAGAAUGGCUUGUAAAGCAAAGCUUAUGAUUCCUAAGGAUGAGAAGUACGAAGGAAAGCCAUUUGCCCUUUCACACACAAGGACCGCCAUUACAACAAUAAAGGUGAAGAUCAAUACGCAGCAGUUACAGAGGUUCAAGGGAAGUUGUUUUGGUCAUCUAUUACUGAUAGAGGACCUGAAGUGGAAUUCACAAAUUGUCCACGGCCUGUUGAUGAGGAAGGCUGAUCCUAAGACAGUUACACAGGUGAACGGGAUAAAAUUCAUUGUGGGUAACAAGUUGAUACAAUUCACAGCCCAACAAUUUUGCCUCAUCACGGGGCUAAGGUUCGGAAAGCUCCCUUUCAUUCCGAAGGCGACAAAUGAAAAUUGCUCGUUGAAGCGAAAAUACUUCAGCAGCAAUAAACCUGCCACCCUUUCGGACCUACACACCGCCUUCAUCGAGUGCACAGAUGAUGAGGAUGCGUUAAAGCUUGGAAUGGUCUAUUUUGCCAAUUUUGUUCUAUUGGGUACUGAAAAGCAUGUGCUUAUUGACAUGCGCUAUUUGAAGUUGGCUGAAGACCUAGAGGAGUUUGACAAGUAUCCAUGGGGCGCAGUGUCAUAUGCAAUGACAAAUGCUUCACUGUUGAGGGCAGUUUGUGCUGAAUACCAACGAGUCAAAGUGCCCCAAAAAAGAAAAAUGCCCAAACAAAGUGGAAAGAGAGUGCAGACAAGAAUGCGAAGUGGUAGACCAAGAGAGUACAUCAUAAGGGGGUUUGGCUUCGCUCUUCAGGUGAACACAUAUCCAGCAAUUAACUAUUUGAUGUAAAUACAUUUACAGAUAUUGAUGUUUCAUUGUUGUGAACAGAUUUGGGCUUUUGAAGUGUUCCCAGCAUUGGAAGCAUUGCAUUUCACGGUCCAUGAAGACAAUAGGCACAUCCCUCGAAUAUUACAUUGGAGGAGCAACACGGUGGCCCGUUUUCGGGAGGUUAUGAGUCAGGUUUUUGAAAACUUUGAGGUUAGAUCUGUUUGUAUUAGUGAUGUUAUGAUUAGGAAAAAUUACAAAGUUCACUGAUUUUUUUUAUGUGUUUCAAUCGGAGGUUGAUGUGCAACUUCUCCGGCCAACAGAUAUUGAGAAGCAACAACCUUACUGGAGUUGGGGUGAGGAUGACAACGAAGAAGAAAUGGUUGAAUUAUUUGGGGAUGAGGCCGAAGAAAAAACCGGCACUUCUAGUGAAGAAAAAGACGCGGAUGUUGAGGAAACAGCCACCCUUCCCUCAUCUUCUAAGGUGAGCAUGACCUUUUUCCAAUGUUGUGAAAAUAUAGCGAAUACGAUAGGAUUGAAGUGGAAAUAGUUUCCUGGUUUUUUGUAAGCUUUCUAACUGUUGCAUUCAUGAAUGUAUGCAGGCCAAAGGGUCUGUUAAUGACGUUCGCAGUUUGAAGCAUCAAUUACGCAGCACUAAGGAUCAGUUGGCUAAGCUACGUAGUUCAAAUCGGGGGCUUAGAAACAGAGUUCGUGACUUGGAAGCUAUUGUACAGAAGAACUGUUUGAAGCAUGAGAACGAGUGUGACAGAAAUAAAAAGGCUAUUCGGGAUUUGACCCUAAAAAUUGCUGAAGUCGAACAUUAUUUGAAGUUGGAGAUGGAGGAGUUAAAAAAAAAUUAUGGUGGAGAAGGCCAUGAGGAAGUCUGUACUGCUUAGAUGAAUGAAGGAGGGCAGAAUGAAUUGUCACCCUUAAAUGAACCUACUAGUCCGACUACAGCAGCACCUAAAAUGGACACUCAAGUUCCAGCUGAUGGAGUAGAAGCCUUCCCAGGCAUGCAUACAGAACGGGGUGAAAUGGAAGCAGCAGUCUGUGGUGAUGGAGUGGAAGGCUUUCCAGCCUCAGAUCAAGAAGGGGCUGCAAGGGAAGCAGAAGUCCCUGCUGAUGGAGUGGAACCCUUCCCAGCCAUGGAAGUCAUAGACACUGAAAUUGAAACUUCAGUUCGUGAGAGGCAAGUGGACCAACAACCUCACAAGGUUCCUACCUCUGAAGAUGUGAAGCUUCCUAGUGUUGAAGAUGCCCUCCUUCCUACUCCGGAAGAUGGGAAUGGGUAUAGAGUUAUUUGUAAAACGAUGUUACAUUUGUUAGAGGAUUGGAAGAAGACAGAAAUUGAGGGGGUGGGAUGCAAGGUCAGGCCUCCCAUGAAAUGUAACAUAAGUCUGGUUGGUGAUGAAGGGGACAACGAGGCUACUGCCACGGUUCAGAAACUAGAUGCUGAAGGCAAAGGGUGCAGACUUAAGCGGGCUGCGACACCAUUGUUGAGUCCAUUCACCGAUCCCUCCAGGAAAAAGAGGAAGGUUACCGAUUUGCAUGCACCGACACCUCAGCCCCGUUUUGAUCCAACAAAACCCGUGGCCAUGGACGAUGUGAAGGCUAUCAUACAACUUUGCAGGGCUUGGAAAACUGACAUCAGGUUAGGAUUUGUAUCUUGGCAAAACCAAUAUACUUGUUUUUUGAUGUAUGCAAACAAUUUAUACGCAGCUAUACUAUACAUGUGUGUGUCAUUGUCAUAUUAUACAAGGUGUUCCACUUGUCUAUUAUAUUUCAAUUUACCUUUGCAAGUGUUGUUUUUGUAGUGCGGAGCUGGAGCUCGAACCAUUUGAAGUUGGGGCAGAUUUUUUUUACAAACUGUUAGAUGAAACUUCAUGGAUGAGCUCGAGGGUAACAAUUUGAACCCGGCUUUAUUUCGAUCAAUCUCUUAUUUGAUGACAUUGACUAUGUGUCAUUUGUUGUGAUAUUGACGCGGUUGUUGUGUUCUGAAAUAGCAGCACCUUGACAUAGCCAUGUUUCUAAUACGCAAAAGACAACUCUCUCAUCCGCAACUAUUUGGAAGGGAGUGGACAACCACCGAGUUUUGUCUGCAGGUAUUUUUGUAUCCAUAUUAUGUGUCACUGCAGUUCUUGCAUUGGUAGGAGUCAUGUAGGUCUCUCCUUUUGGUGCUUUGGUUUGGGUUUAUGUAACGUGUCUUUCACACUUGGUUGCAGCAAUUUUUACAGCCGUUUGCAAUGCCAAGUGGGAAACGAGUCACGAGGAAACAAUAUGCUGCAAGGACCGUUGACCCUCCCCCUAACUACCUCAAAAAUGUACACCACUUUGUCAAUGGGUCAUGGCAACAUGGGUAUGCGCAAGCAUGGACGAAAGUGCGCAAGGUCUAUCUCCCGUAUAAUGUUCGACAGUCCCAUUGGGUGGCAGUAGAAGUCGACUUUGUGCGACAUACUGUCACUGUCUAUGACUCGUAUUCUGAUUUUACCUCCAACAGUAUGCUUGUCCGAUUCAUGGAGCCUAUUACCCAUACGCUUGCAAAGGUGCUGCAUGAAAUGAGGUUUUAUGAGAAAUCGGAGGUUGAAGCGGUGAAGAGAAAGGGGACUGACAUGUCAAACUUUAACCCAUUCACAAUUUGCAGAAUUUCCGAUGUUCCUCAACAAAGUGAUGGGUAAGCUGUGUUCUUUUAAAUCACUAUACUCGGAUGUUAUCAAUAGGUGCACUUCUAACUUGUCUACUGCUCGGGUGGACAGUACUUCAUGUGGCAUUAUGACAGUCAAAUAUAUCGAGUACCUUAGUGCCGGCAUUCCUUUACAUACCAUUGACCCAUCCAAGUUUGGCUACUACCGAUUGAAGCUUGCAAUCGAGGCUUUCAGGGGGGAGGCCUAUGUAUGAGGUAAAAGUCCUAAUCUGACCUCAUUGCUGCUUUAUUGUUAACUACUGCCUUUGGAAUUGCGUUGUUAUUUACUUCAUUGUAGUUACGUCGUACGUACUCACCUGUGAUGUCAGUGUUCAUUUAAAAAUGUCUUACAUUAUGUUGGGAACUUGUCCAACUGUGAUUACUAAAAAUGGCUACUUUUGUUCAUCAAAGUUUAGGGUAUUGGGGAUUUGAACACUAUAGAUGGUAAUGUCAAUGUUUCGCAACUGGCAUCUGAUUCACAUAUGUCAUAUGUUCUAAACUCCGACUCUGUGUAAUCCAAAACUUGUUUCAUGUUCUUUAUGAAAGGUUCAAACAAUUACUUCUUCAAAUUGAACAUGUCUUAUGACAUCUCAUUUUCCCUUUGUAUGAAUGCUGAAGUGGCACAUAUGUCCUCCUUCUGCAGGUGGUCCUUCCAGCUUCAUACCCAUAUUGACAUUUCAGAUUCUGUACAUGUAUGUGAAAAAAGUUGCAGGAUGUUUUGUCGUAUUGUGAAUCUUGAAACUUAGUAUCAGUUUUUGCGUAACAUGGCACAAUUUUUGACAUUUUGCUCACCACGCGAUAAAGUGGGGUGAUUUUGUAGUAGGUUGCAGGGUGUUCAUCUAUGUAACGGAAUUCAACUCUACUUGUCUUCCAUGGUAGAAGGGCUGUAUUCACUUUCCUUUGUUAGAACUAAUUGUUGACAUUCUGUGCUUAACAAAUUCCUGUAAAUCCAUAAUUUGGCACAAGUUGCAGCGAAAUGCAAUUUUUUGGGGCCACCCACAUUGUAGCUUUUUCCAUUAUUUUAUCGCCACUAUAGCGAAAUAUUCGACUCUCAUUUGGCAAUAUAUUAGGGUGUUCAUUUUCGUGACAGUUGAAAGUAUAUAUUGGGUGGCUAUGUCAUGGACCUGUAAACAUGAGACGACAGUGCAUUGUCGACUGUUUAGUUUAGUUAGGUUGAAUACUUUGUUUUGUAUAUGCAUUUUUGAAAUCCAAUCCGGACGGAAAUGUCGGGGUUCGUUAGCACAAACAUUAUCAUUAACGCUCGGCUGGGCCAAUUACAAGCUCAAAUAUUCUAUUGUUUGACGUCAUUGAGUUGUAGUUUUGGGAGGUCCCUCACCGUCAAAUUUUUAGUUAUUUCUCAUGUUUACGUGGAAUAAUUGGUCUGACGAUUGAGGCUGCAUAAGAGUUGAUACCAAAAUACCUGAGCCUGGGGUUAUUGGCUAUGCCUUUUGUGUUUGCCUUUUCAAACCAAGAUGAAACCAAUAGAAAACGACCAUCUCUGCCAUCACUGAUUUAUAUUAAAUAAAUCCUGUCCAAUUACAUCCAUAACCUAACCAACUUUAACCUGCCAACUGUAGAUGACCAGGAGUCCUAUUACAUUUGGAAAACAACAAAUAAAUGACCAUUCCAACCAAGAAAACAGAGACCCAAAACCAUGGGUUUUUCAUCUUUCCUUUUCCAGCGUUUUGUUCUUCUUCCAAGCGGUUUAUUUUCCUAAGCAAGCCUGGAAUGAUGUGCUUCGAUCUGUCACACAUCUCUGGGUCAGCCCAUUCCCAAAAUGUACAUCCAUUCCUCUGCAGAAACGGAAGCAAUGUUUUCAAACAAAGACAGCCAGCAUCAGAUUUGGAAUACAGACAAUUCCCAAAUGUCAGCUAAAACUUACACGUUUAUUAAACUUACCCUUGCACAUACUUGAAACCUCCUUCCAGGAUGAGAAACCGUCCACGAUGUAUACGUUUUGACAACGUUCCCACAGUAGCACAGCCGUGAACACACUGAACUCGCAGCUUCCAUUUUCCAGCGAGAUCUUGAAGUCGCGUCUUGACCGGGCAACCGAGACGUCACUGACUCACCCUCACCGGUACGGAGGCUCCUCCUACUCAUCUUCUUGUUUUUGAGGGUAUGAAUUGUUAUUGACGUUGUGCGAUAUUUAGGGUGCUGAAGAGGGUCAUCCCAAAUUCAAAGGGUUACACUUGCAUGUGCACAAUGUUUCAGUAACAUGGUGUGAGUGCACAAACAUGAUACCUGGAGUUAAUGGGGUGUUUUUAAAAAGGAAAUUUUUUUUUUUCCAAUAUUUACCAUUGCCAACAGUAAGUAUAGAUUGGGCCCAAUGUUAUUCAUAGCCUUAGUUUAUGACAGAUACGGCAUGGUAUACACUUGCAUAUACAGUACAUGCCAUUCUUAGUUGUCUGUAUAUUGGUUGAUGAAUGACGUAUUGGUAGGACAGUGGCACUAUAUUGGUAUCGUAUUGUAACUUUAUUGUAUCGCUAUUGAUUUGUAUUGGUUUUAUCAUGCCCGAUAUUGGUGUUAUAUUGGCAUUCCAAUGUAACCUCAGCAUUAUUUGAAAUUGGUACAGCUAUUAUAACAUUUUUUAUACUGUCUUGCGUAUUGGUUUUGCAAUGUCAUUGAACAAGUCUACAAAUCUGAACUAUGUGGAAGGUAAUUACGUUAUAUCGAAUAUGAAAUGAAUGCAGCCAAACUACAUCAACUGCAGUUAUCAAACUUCCUGCAUACAACACAAAAGAAAGGCACCUGAAACGUACAUAUAAUAUGAAGGCCACCUCAACCUGGCAGCAUACAAAAUAAAAUAACAAUCCAGGUGAAACUUACACAAGACAUAAUUUACAAAGAGGUGACCUCAAACUCACAUAAUACAAUCUUAACAAAGACGGCACCUGCAGCUUACAUUAUACAUAUGUACCAACGAGGCCCCCUUUCCCCAACAGAAAACAAACAAAAUAAAAAAAAAGGGCACCUCAUACGUAUAUAUUACAAAAACAGGGCACGUCAAAAAUUUCACUGUACUGGGUUUGUCCCCAAUAGUAGCCAUGGUAAUAUUACAAGGCAAACCCUCUGGCUGUGGCCGAAUUUCGAGUUGCAUACCCGUCAAAUGCGGCGACCGCGACCCAUUAAGUUCAUGACCCCUCCCACAGUGAUGUCCCACUUUCCUUCUGCAUCCACAAUUUGUGCAAACUUCCUAAAUAGUUCGAAGCCGGAUUCCAGUUGUUGUUGCUUCAGCUGAGCCAUUUCGUCUGAUUCUUUGAAUGCAAUAACUGCACUGGCAGGGGCAUUUUCAAGUCUAGCUCUGACAGCCUUCAUAUGUAGGAGAUGCAUCCGGGCUUGAUAACGCGCCCGAAUUGUGCGCUUUUUUAUGACACCCCACCUAGCUUGGCCCUCUUUAAUUUUGCUAACUAUGUCUGCAUGGAGAUUUUUCCAGAACAUGGUAUUGGCUCGACAUUGCUGCAGUCCAUGGACCCAGUCUUCAGUGUCUUCUGUUGCUGCUUUGCCAGGUGUUUCAGUGUCCCCUCCUUCAGUAAUGGCAAGGGUUGGGUUUGGUGUGGGGUUGGGGUCCAUGGUGUUGGGUAUUUACUGUGGGUUGGUGUGGCCAUUAGUUUGACCAAACUGCCAUUCAUUGUGAUGUAGGUGAAAUAGCUGCACAGGCAUGGGGGUUUGACGGAGUAAGUGUGAUGGAAAUGUUGGGUGGAUGCAGCUGGGUUACAAUUAAAUAGUGGGAGGUAUUAAUGACCAGGAGUAAAUGACUGUGCUGAAGAGGCGGGAGUUAUUGGCGGCAGUUGUUGGGUCCAAUUUUAGGCGGGAGUUAUUGGCGGGAGUUGUUGGGCAACACAUUUGACUUGGGCUGUGCAUAAUAACAGCUGUAUAUAACUAUUCUUUACCAUUGGUUGGUGGUUGUUGUAUGGGACCCUUGUUGAAUUUGCAAUUUAUUCUUUUUGUCCUCUUUCCCCAAUUUCCCUCCUGUACCAAAACUACAAAUUGUCCCAAAUAUAUGAGUACGGUAAUUUGACAAUGAAUUGGCCAAUUACAAAAAUGGACCAUGAAAGUAUUUGUGUUUCCAAUUUCCUUUUUCAGGGUGCAUGUUUUCCUUGAUAUGAGUUCCAUUUUUGUAUAUAACGGUGAAUUCCUAACUCUUAUUUUGUACCAUAUGCAAAUAUUUGUAGGUGUAUUCAUCCCACCAGACGUUUUAUUCGCCUUUAAAAUUCAGAAGAUGGGACUGUAUAUGACUGAUUUGGUGGUAUUAUUUUGUUUUUAGAUGGACUUGCCUAUUGUCGUCAUUUGUAGGGGAUACUUUGUAAUUUAUGAACAAGUUUGUACAGUUGGUAAAAUGAGUUAAUGGGGAACUUGCUACUAAGGGAGUUAUUCAUAUGGCAGCACCUUCAAUAUUAAUAUAGUAUAGAAUUGUGAUGAAGAUUGUGUGUAAUUUGUGUAGUCAUUGUUGUUCAGGUGUGUAUAUUGGUACGGCCGAUUAUUCCAACGUUGACAGGUGUGUAUUUUCGUAUUUGGUCCGACUGUAAUGGGCAUAUUACAAUGCUGUCAGUGACAGACAGGAGUAAUGACUGAAGACUGAUUUUGUAAUGUAGUCAUUGAAAGCAAUAUAAAACAGACAACUUCGUCUAUAUAAGAGGGUCUAACCUACUCAUUCAAUUCCAUAUAUAUCAGACACGAAAGCUGUACUAAAGCUCACCCUAUUGUUGGUAACGAAAAGGAAGCUCCAGAUUGAUUUUGUAACGUUAACGGUUUUUCAGGGUGCAUGUGUGCAUUAUCCCCAUUUGAAGUUCAAGAUGUCAGACGUAAUCCCUCCAAACGAGGUUGUUAGUUACCCAGGAGACCAGCCAUGGCAUGUCCCUUUCCCAUCUCCACCUGGGACUCCAAAUAACGAUCCCACGUCAUCCGGAAGUGAGGCAGACAACAUUGAUCCGCUAAAGAAAAUAGCUGAAGUGAAGCAUCACCUCCAAUAUUUGUGUACGACAACGGAUUGGUGGGAAACCAAAUGCGAUAUUCAUGGCCAGGUGAUGGGCAACUUGACGAACAAGCUGAACAAAGCAUUUGCUAGAGAAGUUAAGCAAACAAUGAAAGCCCAAAGUCGAAGCGCGAAGUUAGCCUCCUUGACGUUACAAUUGGAAGAAACAAAGAAAGAUGCUGUCCAAAAAUUCACUGAAUCUGAAGAAUUUAACCAUGAACUGGUUGAAUGUUUUAACAAUGGGUUCGAGAUGUUCCGGGAUUAUGCUUCCGUCGUGUCACCAGACUACAAUUGGAGCGAAAUAGAUGUUGGUGGUGUCUGGCAGGUGCUGAAUAAGGGUGGCCAGGGAAUGGCUGAUCAUAGCCUUGUGCAUGCAGCGAGGAAGAAGACCAAAGAAUUGGAUCUAUUCAUGGACCUGUAAACAUGGUGAUUUUGUGGAAGGGUUUCUGUAGCUGGGUCAGGGUAAGUACGGGUGGAAUCAUUUUGUAUGUAUUUGGUGGCUUUUGUUUGAAUGUGGUGCCUUGUUUACGCCUUCCUCUUAUUCUCACCGUUGAGUGGGAAAUUACUUAGUUUGUAUAAAUAUGAAGUACUGUAACGUGGAGGUGUGCUUAUUAAACGUUUAUUGGCCUCAUAUUACAAGCAUUAAGGAUGUAUAUUGUGUUUGUAUUGUAUAAUUAUUGACACAUAUUGUAAUGGUAUUGUGCUUAUAGUACGGUUUUAUUGCUGCUUUAUGGAUAUACACCUCAUAUUAUAGCCUCUACAUCUGAGUAAUUAUAAACAGUGACUCUAGCAAUGGUCGUGUAUAUGGAGGGUUUCGGACAGAUCGAUGGUUAUGACGCGCGGAAUAUCCAUGGAAAUAUGGGACAUGUAUUGAUACCUUAAGGCAAUUGGAUACAAACCACGGACACUGUGACCAACAAUAUAGAACACUAAUAACUGACUUUGUUAUUUUGCAAAACAGGUUGGAUUGGAAAAGUUAUAGGUACCAGAGUCCAUAGGCACUAAUCACACACCAAUGGGGAAGGGUUUGUUCCUCUGUGUGUGUGACAUGAAGUGAAUAAUUAACUAUUUGAAAAGUCCAUAUAACGAUAGUAGUGAUGUGUUCACCAUGUGUAGCUGCAUGGAUAGUUUCCCAAAUAAUUACAUUUUAGUUAGCCUUCUAGGCCCUUUCAUUUGGGACAGAAACCGUUUUCAUUACACUACCAAUAGCCGUGCAACAAAGGUACAAUCAGUACCAAUACGAUGGCAACAAAGGUACAAUACAAUACCAAUACGGUGCAUAUAAAGACAGGACAUAACGUUGUGUAGGAAAGGAAACCAAGUGAUGCGAACGUCACUACAAUCACAUUUCACAACAGCAAAUCGAAUACAAUUUAAAUGAAAAUAAAAGGUACAUCACAAACGAUUAGAAAUGCAAAUCUGUAAGACACAUUGGCCAGUGGAACACUGUUAAAUAACAGCUGGUUUCCAUAAAACAGGUGGAACUGUAUGUUCACAAAUUGCUACUAAUAAUAGGCUCUCAUUGCAAGGAACUUGUUACCUUGUUCCAUAUGCUUCACAUGACCGUUUAAUUGACGGACUUCCAUGUAUGCAGCAUCACCUAACCAAUUCAUGAACUUCACAGUUGAUGACAACUGAGGUACAAACUGAACAACUGUACAAUAUGCGCAAUUAGACACUUCAGUUCAUGAGAGGGACAGAUUGUUUGCAUGUAUUUCGGUAGUGGCCCUUCACACCACACCUUGAGCAUUUUUUUUGCCGGGAGUCCUCUCCUUUGGAAGGUACUCUUUGCAUUUUGCGACGGCCCGGCAUAACCUUACAAACAGGAGGAAGGAUUUUGACAUUGUUCAAAUGUUCGGGAAUAACCCAUGUGCCUUUAGGUGGUACAGGAUAAAUAGAUUCAGCAUAUGCCGCUACCCAUGUAGCUCGUGUAUAAUAAGAAGAGGCAAAGGAGUAGGGGUUCAAAUUCAAGUGCCGACAUACCGCAAUAGCAUGCUUGCACGGGAGUUGCUCCAAGUCAAACUUCCUGCACGUACAACUACGGUUUGCCAAGUGCACCAGACCGUUCAAAUCACCAUCCAGAACAUUAUACUCAACAUCAUUGAUUUUGACCACAUUCAUCCUUGACGCAGCGUCUAACCUCUUCCUUAACUUCUGUUCACCCAAAUCAGGGCACAAUGUAGAAUGACAUUUCAUUGCUAAAUCUCGACGUUGACUAAACCAAGUGAGAAGUAAAUUUGUGAUUUCAUCGAUCAAGUGUAGGACCGGACGCAUCCUUGCAAAACGAAGAACUGCAUUAAUGGACUCCACAAUAUUCGUUGUCAUCACAUUAUAGCGUCGUCCAUCACAGUGGGCCCGAGACCACUUCUGAACGCCUGCACGUAGUAGAUAAGUUCGCACUCGCUCAUUGUUUAUCAUCGAGAAGUGACGAUUGAACUCCGCUAGACGAUAAGACUUCGCUGCCCUUAUAAAAUACCCCAAUAUCGGAUCCCGUUGCUUCAAGUGAAAUGAGGCUUUCAUAUUGCCCUUCAAGUGAUAAAAGCAAAUACCAUGGCUUGCCCCAGGAAAAACUCUACGCAACCCAUGUUGUAUGCUAACAUUGCGAUCGGAUAUGACAACAAGAUUUGAGCAAUCACCAAUUGCACAAUGUAAUUUUCUCAAAAACCACUUCCACGCUGCAUCGGUCUCCAAAUCUCCAAUCCCAAAGGCAACAGGAUAUAUGUUGCGAUUUCCGUCAAAUGCGGUCGCAACAAACAAAACACCUUUAUACUUGCACUUCAAAUGGGUAGCAUCAACAGCAAUCACGGGCCGCAUUGACGACUUAAAUCCUCGUAUGCAUGCACCAAUUGACAUAAAAAAAUAUAAGAAGUGGUCGGCUGCAUCAGUCUGAAUGUAUGUCAAAGUUCCCGGAUUUGUACGCUCCAACUCAUAACAAUAGGAAGGGAUAAGGGAAUACGACUCUUCUGUAGACCCUCUCAUUGUUUUGAAAGCUAACUCUCGGCUUCUCCAAGCUGUAGAGUAGCUUAUGCUGACACCAAAUUUUUUUUUCACAUCUGUCUUUAUAUCAGCUGCAGUAUAAAUGCUGCGCGAAUCCUGAAAUCUCCAUUUAACACAGUCAGACACCAAUUCGGCCAUAGCUUGAGGAUGGUGACUACUUACAAACCUCAGAUCACAUUCAUGAAGUGGAUCGUAUUUAACAACCUUAAACUCAUGUAAUCCAACCUUAUAUGCCCGAAGUUUCCAAGGGCAAGGCACCUGCCAACAGCGAACACAAAAUCGACGCUUCCCAGAUUGGACUGUUCUGAACCGAAAGUGGCCUCUAAUUGCUGCUAAACUGAUGGUUUUUAAAAGGGCAAUCUUAUUUGGAUAAACUCGGCCAACCUUCAAAUUUGCUUCCCAAUUUAUGCACGAAAGGCCUCCACCAUAACCAAUAUAUUCCACACUCUCACCAUGCUUCGAAUCAACCCGAAUUGUAUGCAUUUCACUUGAACUUGAUUGCCGGGGAGGUUCAGAUUGCACCUGUCUACACUGCACAGUGGAGGGUUCCGCACUGCUGUCCUCAUGAGGAUGCACAAUUGGUGCAGAGUACGGUUCCUCUUCAUUGCUAGGUUGAUACAAAUCAGCAACUAUGUUUUCACCGCUUUCAAAAUGAACUUCUUCAACCCAAUCACUCCAAUUAAAACCAUUCCCACCAUUUUCAGUUUCAUUGUGCGCAAUUGCCACAUUUCUUCGUUCCACAACAAAGGUAGCAGGAGCAUUGCUACUCUCAACGCUUACAAUGCCAUUGCACCCUUCAAUACCAUGACCUUCGAUAUUUUUCAAGCUUGCUACUAAAGGGGUUACUUUAGAGGCCAUAACAUCUGUGUUGUACUUGAGAAAAUAUUGAACAUCAUCAUUGUCUUCAACCCUUAUGUGCUUACUGACAGAUGCGGAUACAGGAACUGAAUACUUCAAUGUGACACUAUAUUUCGUGGGCUCUACAUCCAUGAUCUUAUAAAUGCGUUCAACAAGUUCGGAAAACGUUACGUUCCGUGACACUAUUAUGCCUUUAGCCUCCCCACCUUCAUAACUCUCAAUGUUAUCCUUCUUAACCCAACUUCCAUUGUAGCAUACCAAAAUUCCAACUGUAUCCAUUUCUGCAAAAAACAUAAAUAAUUACUACACCGAUUGAUAACACUAAAAAAUACAAAAUAGAUGAAUAAAAACAUGCACAACAAUCAUAACACUACACAUAUCAUCUUCUAAAUCCUCAAAUCUUCAAACUCAAAUUGUAGCUGCUUCAACAAUUAACUUUUAUUCCUUUUUGUUUUUUUUCUGAUUUUGUACAUAUAUGUGGGUUCCAAGUUAUUAACAAACUAACAUACACAUACAAUGGCAGAAAUAUGAACCCUCUAACCCUCCAAGUCUUUUGCACAAAUGUAAACGCCUUCAACAAAAGGAUCAGGUUGUGAUAGAAAGCGUAUAAUGUAGUACAAGCUCAAUUACCAAAUUCGAAACCAAAACACACAAACUAUACUUCUUACCAAAACAAACCCAGAAUGCCAAUAAAUUCCCCACAUUAGCAUCUAAAUUGAGCCUAACACUAGCCGUAUUUACAAAUUUUUAGGCCAGACAAAGUUAACAUAUGAUUUUUCUGUGUGCUGUUAUUUUCACCAUUAUCAAACACAUUGCACUACAUUAUACACGCAUUCGGUCAAUUUUAAACAAAAUUCAAGUUCACCAGACAGCUCCCACUGCAGAUAAUAUCACAAACUAUGAAUUUCAACAUAUCACAACAAGUGCAAACUGAAAAUUUAAGCUUUUAUGCCCUCUGUGGUGAAAGGGGCUGAACGAUUUCAUAAUACACAUACACUACCAAACCAAUAUCACAACUCAAAUCUGUUCACAACGACACCGGAAGUCGCCACUUUCCCUUCUCUGUGGAAUCGCAGCAGUCAGCUCGAUCUGGAGGUCAACAAUGGAGGCCGUGCCUUUCGGCUUCGCUGCGCCCAAACUAGGGUCCCAAAUUUGAGGACAUCUGGGUUAUGACGAUGGAUGGGUUGCGAACUAGAUUGCUCAGUGGGAACAUGUCUCGCAACCUGGAGUUCCCCCAAUUUUUCCCAACCUUCCAACACAGAGGAGAGAGAGUUGAGCUGAGUUCAGACAAGUUCCCUUUCAGAAAAGGGGUGGCAACGGGUUGCUACAUGUGCUUUUAUAUGGAGGGCAGUUUGGUCAUUUCACGUUCAAAAGUGAUUAUAUCAGAACACAAUUUGUAACCUGAUUAUUUCAGAAUACCACUUGUGAAAAGUGAUUAUAUCAGCAUAUUUCCCUUUAUUUUAUUUACUGUAUGGUGUAGGUUUAUUACCCAUACAACAGUAUCUAUUUAAAAGGGUGGCGCGGGUUUAUCGUCCAUGCCUUUACUUUUAUUUAAAAGUAUGGAGCAGAAUUAGUGCCCAUACAAGCACAUUUACUUUAUUAAAGUAUGAUGUGGAAUUAACCCUCAUACUUUAUGAAUUUACUUUACUGUACAUUUACUUUUAUUAAAAGUAUGAUGUGGAAUUAACCCUCAUACUUUAUGAAUUUACUUUACUGUACAUUUACUUUUAUUAAAAGUAUGAUGUGGAAUUAACCCUCAUACUUUAUGAAUUUAAUUUACCGCACAUUUAAUUUUAUUUAAGGUAUGGUGCGGGAUUAACGUCCAUACAGCAAGUAAUUUAAUUUAUGAAUUUAAUUUACCGCACAUUUAAUUUUAUUUAAGGUAUGGUGCGAGAUUAACGUCCAUACAGCAAGCAAUUUAAUUUAUGAAUUUAUUUUACUGCACAUUUACAUUUAUUUAAAGUAUGGUGCGGGUUUAUCGUCCAUACCAGUAAUUUAUUUACCAGCAAUUUAUUUUAUGGAUUAAUUGUGCUGUAUGAUGAGUUUUUACAGUAUGCAGAUCGGGCCCAGAAGUUCCUUGAUCCUCAUCAUACAAUUACAUCAGGACUUGAAGAUCCUUGAUGAUGAUAUUAAUAUGAGAGCUGGCAGUCUCUCCGGUACUAUAUUUGUAAACAUGUCAUUGGACUUAAGGGUCCUUGAUCCCUGACAUGUAAAUAAGGACCUGGGGUUCCUUAAUGAUGUAACAGUACCGUAUUGGUUCAUAGUGCCGUACACAUGGAUAAUAACUGUAUUGGCAAAUGUACUGUACACAUGAAUAGAUACGUAUUCAUGACUUGAUGAAUAGUACCGGAUAUAUGAAUAGUGACGUAUACAUAAAUAUUAACCAUUUUGGGUAAACCAUCACUAUUCAAAAAGGGAACCUGUAGUUCCUUAAACUCAUGGAUGAGCAAUUAAAUGAGAUGCCAGAAGUGCCUCAAGAUAUGGACAAUUAUGUAAGGGCUUGAAGUCCAGAAAUAUGUACAGAAAAUUGUAAAAAUGUCCAUACCAUGAAAAUAUGUGAUUUUGGCUUGAGGUUCAAAAUCUAACAGUGUUGAGAACCUGAAGUUCCAAUAAUUAAAUGGACAACCCUUGAGGUAUUAUUGCAAAUUGUGGUACGCCACAUAUUUCUUUAGCAUAAGAAAAUGAUGAAUUUAAUAAAGUUCGAUUCUGUUAUAAUCGACACCUCAAGUAAGAAAUAUAUUUUGUGAAUUCCGCUUGUUAAGAAUACACCAUGAAAUAGAUAAUAUCAAUAUAAACCUCAAAUGAUGAAUUGAGGCUCCCCACAUAUUUUGAUAUAUCUGGGCCGGAAGCACAUGGAUUCAAAUAUAUGAGAAAUCCCGAAUUUGAGAUUGUGGGUAUAUAGUAGUUAAUGCUCUUCACUACUAUAUUGCGAUAUUAUCGUAGCUUUUACUCAAUUCAUAUUUCAUGUCCAUUUGAAAAGGGCAAAUAAAUUAUGAGUUUGUGUUUAGCCCAGGCCAAAAGUUCUGGGCUCCCAUACGUUGAAAUAUGAAAUUUGGGAGAGUCGAUGUGGUUAUUUGAAUCUAUAAGGCACAAGGUUCCAAACCGUCAUUUUGAAAAGACGUAAAAACCACAGGUGCAAGUUUAAGAAUGUGCGCAAUUAUUAUAACAGGAACAUACAACAGAUAGAUUUUUUCCACCUGCAAUGAAGGUGCAGGCCCUGUAAAAUCUAUAAAAUUACAUUAUGUUCUGGAAGCCUCUGAAGGAAGAGAACAGCGCCUCUUAAGCUUAGCCAUGAGCCUCUCGUGGUCUCCCAAAAUUCUUUCAUUGGAGACCUGCAGCAUGUCUAGCCUUCUCAGUGUAUCAACAGAGUACGAACUCACCAGUUUCAACAAGGCAUUAUUCUCUCCUUUAAGUUUCUCAACCUCCUGUUGAGACUCAUGAAGCAUUCUUUGGAGAGACGAAUUUUCAGUUGUUAACCUCUCAACCUCGUUUGCUCUGGCACGCAAAUGAUCAGCCAUGUUAGAAACAGAAGCAGCACUCUGAAUGCUAAAAGCCAUUGAGUCAUCAAUAGCCUCUUCCUCAGAUCUCCCUGUCAACAACAUUUCAUCCAUUGGAAUAAUGAAAUUCCUAGCUACUAUGACAGCAAUAGCAUCAUUCAUCAUCACAGAAUCAUUAACUGUGAGAUGACGAUUUUGGGAUACAAAGGAUGGACGCCAAACUUUGGCAUCAUUGGUAGUUGUGGGAGCAUCAUUUAAAUUGAAAUAAUUUGGGCAGGAAGAAGAGGAAGCCAUUUUAAGAAGGUUUUGAAGAAAGUCUUACAAAAACUAAAGUUUCAGAAAAUGAAGGAAGUUGAGUUGAAACGCAGUUGCUCCAAUCAAGUUUUGCAAAGGCAAUAUCUAUAGACGAAAAUGUGGCAACAUUUCUAGGAUCCCAAUAUCUUCUCGAAUCCCCAUAUUAUCUUUUUCUUUCCCAGAGUCCAAAACUUCACGUGGCCUCUGAUAAUGCCUGUUGGCACUUUCAGCGUUUUCAAGUAUUAUUUUCGUCAAAGCUGAUCUUGCUUUACGGAUUUCAUGGAGCUAUUUUUUCAAAAGUAUCCCGAGAAUCUCGCAAUUUUCCUAUGGUUAAUUUGAAAUUCACCGGUUCUACCUAUUCAUUGUAUUUGUGUAUAAAUGUGUUACUAACGAAAUUUUCUUUGCAGAAGACAUCCAGUUUACUCCAUACCUAGUGAUGCGAUAUCUACUUGUUUUUCUUAUCAGUGAGCACUCAAUAUGCCCGAGAAGCAAGACUAUCUCUGAUCAUCCGUUCAGGAAGCGAGACUAUCCCUGAUCACGUUUCCGCUACAUCAGGGAACUGUGAAAGCGAUCUUAUGCUCUAAUCUCCGGAAGUCCUUCUAGACUAGGAGAAAUGAGAGCUUAUUGUCUGCUCCCACCAGCUUCCUUCCCUGAUUGCUUAUCUUACCUUGCAAUCAAUAUCACAUUUUUUUGCAUUUUUUCUCUUUUUGUAACUCUCUGUUCAUAAGAGACUUUAUUUCUUUAGAAUGAACAUCUGAAGAAAGAGUCCAUGAAGUGAUCCUAACUCUGAGGGUUAUUUGUUUUGAUAGAGGCAAAAGAGUUGUGAUUUUUGCUCUUGCAGGAUAUAACUAGAUCAUCAAGCGCUACAUUAUAUUUACUUGGCCGAUACGAGCUUGAAUGAUACUUGAGAAAAGUUUCUCCCACCAAAGGAUGUAAGCAAUACUUGUGUUAUUUUAUGCUUAUAUACUUAUUUGAUAUUUUAUCUUGAAAGGUAACCAAAUGGGGAGAUAAGUCUGUUCCAAAAGAAUGGCUUGUAUGCAUCCAUGAAUUAUUAAUGCAAAUUUUACAGAUUGCAAGUUGGAUACAUUGAUAAUACACUGCACAGAUUAAAGUCCCAUAAGAACAGAAUAUGGGUAUAGCAGUGAUCAAUAUGAUGCACGCCUGUUGCGUAGCAAAUGAUGUGGAUUGAAGUCCCGAAAGGACAAUCCUUUGACAUGCCAAUAUUGAUAUUGUGCACGCCUAAUGCGUAGCAAAUUGUAUGGGUUAAAGUCCCAGAAAUUAAUUGACAUGUAUGUAUUAAUCUGUGGCAUGCCUGCAGCAUGACAGAUAUAUGGGUUCUAAAUGUUCCAACUCCCUAAAUAGAGAUUAUCCACACCCUACUGUAAAAUAACGCUCCAUUGGAGGUUAUAAUCCAGAUUCUCACAUAAUAAAAGCCCCAUGAAGUGGCUUGGGUACCCAAAAGCAAAGAAAUGCUUAUAAUUGAUGCAUGCACGUGUAAAUGAGAAUGAUGGGAUCAUGAAUUGAUGAAUGACAAUUUUUGGUUUUGGAGUAGCUACUCAAAUCAUCAAUGGGCUGUGUUGAUUGGAACCACGUUCAGUUAUUAAAUGUCGACAAUAUCAUUGGCCAAAAUGGAAUGAGGUAAUUCCAUUAUAGAUGAGAAUGAACGUGAAAGAACAAACCCACAGUACGAACCCCAAAAGAUGUUAAUACUGAAAUUUAUACUUGGGUGUUCAGAAUAAAAGGGAAUAUAUCUACUUUGUAUGACACAAUGUUUGUGGCAGAAACAAGGAAUGUUGGGUUUUCUCCAUAUUUACAGAUUCAAUUGUGCCCCCUUAUUGCACAUUUACAGAGACCAACAUGUUAUCUUUAAGGGUUAUUAAAUGCACGGAGCAUAUCGUCAGAAGCGAUUCCCUAAAGAUUUAUAAAUAGUUGGGUAAAAGCUAUAUAAUGUGUCAUAAAGUUUAAUCCCUUUUAAACAAAAUCCUUGAAAGGAUUGAAAUUGCAUGAAGCAAGUCCCUGAAGGACAUGUGCCUGAAGCACAAAAUCUGUACUCAAUACUAAUGUGCAUAAAUUACCUCAGUGAGUACAUUGAUUAUAAUGUGUUUGCAACACAUUAAAGCUUCUGAAGAGUUCAAGAAAUAUUUGUCUCGACCUAACGAUCGAGCGUUGUGACAAAUGAGAUUUUUUUUGCUUAUACUAAGAAAGUAUUGAAGAAUUUUUAUGAGGAUUAUCCGUUGGACACUUUAAGGAUUUUCCGGAAGUAUAUUGGACCGUACAUCGUAUUUUCCAGAUAGAGCUCAACUCCAUCACCAUCAUUUUGGGAUGAUGUGAGGCAUAUUUGAUGCAAUCUCAGCAUAACACCAUAUAUGGGCAUAUUUUUGAGUGAACUUACAAAUAGCCCAAGUAUUAUUAGAUAUGGGGACUCUGGAAAUCUCUAUGGUCGCUUACUGGAAAAAGCUAGUCAUGAAGUUUUCAGGGGGAGAUAUUCAUCAGGGGGAGCGUGGUAUUAAUAAAGACCUUCACACACUGUACUCUUUUUCCUUCAUCCAGGUUUUUAUCCCACUAGAUUUUUCCUGGUAAGGUUUUAACGAGGCAGUGUCGCUCAAGAUUGACUCACAGAAGCAGUGUCAACUACGAUAUUCAGAAAGAUGAUCAACAGUAUGGCUUAAAGAUAUUUUGCCAGCAUCAGGGGGAGCGUGCUAUCAAUAAAGAUCUUCAAACACUGUACUCUUUUUCCUUCGUCCAGGUUUUUAUCCCACUGGAUUUUUCCUGGCAAGGUUUUAACGAGGCAGUGUCGCACGCGCGUCAAUAUACACAGAAUUUUAUGUUACACAUGAUUAUGUACUCUUUUUCCUUUGACCAGUUUUUGUCCCACUGAGUUUUUACUUGCAAGGUUUUUAACGAGGCAUAUUCCAUAUCAUUUGUGGUCUCCAAGGGGGAGUGUUGUAAAUAAUAAGGUGGAACCCACCUCCAAUUGGAAGAGGUUUUGCCUUCAAAAGGGUUCACACCUUUCCUUUGUAAAUACACAUAUGAGACGAGUGAAAACAUUCAAUGAAAAACAUCAGAUUUCUAUGCUUGAUCUAUCUCAAUUCCCUCUCUCCAAUUCCUCUAAAUUUAUAACAAAAUUGAAAUUUUUUGAAGAUUUUUAAAUAAAAAAAUUUUGUUGCUGACGUCAGCAAACUCGGGCUGGAACUAAGACAGAUCUUGCUUGAGGGCUAGCUUGGUUUCGUAGGUCCAAUCUCCUGCCAGGGCUAGCCCUUGCUGCUAGAACUGCUCUUAGAGCAAGUCCACCCCAAAAGGCUAAGGCAAAGCAAGAGCUGCCACUAUUCAUGUGAAUAGUGGCAGCCUUGCCUUGUUCCACCCCAAAAUGCUAGGGCAAGGGCAAAUACUGUUCAUUGUACUUUAUUUCCUUCUUUUUUUUCUAAUACUUUAAACCAUUAAUUUUGAUAAGCUUUUCAAAUAAUAUUUUCAGUUGUCACGUGUCACUAUUUAUUAUAAAAUUAUCACCUAAAAUUUCAGAUAAUAUUUUCGAAUUAAAUUUUCGAAUUAAAUUUUUGGAUAAGAUUUUUGGUUGCCACGUGUCCAUCAUUUUUCAGAAAAAAAUUUCGGAUGAGAUUAUCGGUUGCCACGUGUCUUAUUUCAGAUAAAAUUUUCAGAUAUUUAUUAAAAAAAAUUGUAAUCUCAUAUUUCAGAUAAGAUUUGCACCCUCUAAAAUUGCACCACGUGUCCCAUGUCAGAUAAGAUUUUCAGAUAUUUUAAAAAAAAAAUUAUAAUCUCAUAUUUCAGAUAAGAUUUUCACCCUCUAAAAUUGUGCCACGUGUCCCAUGUCAGAUAAGAUCUUCAGAUAUUUUAAAAAAAAUUUAUAAUCUCAUAUUUCAGAUAAAAUUUUCGCCCUCUAAAAUUGUGCCAUGUGUCAUCUCUAUCUUCGGAAUCCCUCUAUAAAACUACACUAUCAACUCAUACCUCUCACACCAUAUCUUAUAUAUUCCUUCAUUUCUCAAAUUUUACAGAACACAUUCUACUCCCAAUGUCAAACUUGAGGAGGGUGUUGGAGAGGUAAGAGCGAGAAGAGGAAGAAAUCCGGCGCAAACGUGCUGAGGAAGAUCGGGACUCCGAUGAAGAAGAGGAAGAAAUGCUUGUAGCGGCGUGUAUGCUUAAUGAAUCAAGGCAACACCAUCGUCGUCGUGCCCCAAAUGUGAACAUACGUAGGCAAUCUCUAAGUAAGAAUCUGUUGGAAGAUUACUUUAUCCCAAAUUCGUUAUAUCAUAUUUCUAAAUUUUGAGAAAGAUAUAGAAUGCAGCCACAUUUGUUCCAAAAAAUCAUGCAUGAUAUUUAUAAUUACGACACAUACUUCAUUCAGAAGUAUGAUUCUGUUGGAGUUUUGGGUCUUCUCCCGGAGCAAAAACUUACAGUUGCUUUGCAGAUGCUUACUUAUGGGAUAUCUGUAGAGCAUGUGGAUGAGAUUGCAAGGAUGGGAAAAUCAACUAUCCUAUAGUGCUUGGUGAGAUUAUGUGAUGCAGUAGAAAAUCUGUACACGAGGGAGUACAUUCGCAAACCUACGCCUAGCGACCUACAAAGGCUUCUACAAAAACCUGAUGCUCGAGGUUUCCCAAGAAUGAUUGGAAGCAUCGAUUGCAUGCACUGGCAGUGGAAGAAUUGCCCAACUGCUUGGCAAGGAGACUACGGAAAUCGAAAGGGCCAAAAAAGUAUAAUUUUGUAGCCCGUAGCUUCAUUCGAUUGUUGGGUUUGGCAUGCCUUCUUCGGAGUUGCCAAAUCUCAAAGUGACCUCAAUGUGCUUGGUCAAUCCCCGGUGUUCAAUGAUGUAUUGCAAGGUCAUUCCCCCUAGGUCACGUUCCAAAUCAACAAUACCGUAUACUAUGAUACGUAUUACCUUGCUGACGGAAUUUAUCCUAAGUGGACGACAUUCUUAAAAACAAUUUCAAAUCCCCAAUUCGAGAAGGAAAAAAGCUUUGCUGCCUUUCAAGAAGGUUACAUGAAGACGUGGAAAGGUAUUUCGGUAUCUUGCAAGCUCGUUAGGGUAUUAUUAGGGGUGCUGCUCAGAUGUUUGAUGAGGAGGUGUUGCGGAGCAUUAUGAUGAUUUGCAUCAUCCUCCACAACAUGAUUGUGGAGGAUGAGCAUGAUUAUGAUCCUCCAGAGGUGUUCGAACCGGAUCCAAUGAACACGGCCUUGACAAGGAUUUAUGAAAGGCCGAUGGGACCAAAUGGACAUUCAUUGGAGCACGAACCAUUAGUUCGGGAUGGUUGAUUCAACAACCCCAUGCUUGAUCGUUACCAGGAAAUGCAAUCUUCGUAUGUUCACGAGAGGCGUCAAGUUGACUUGAUCGAGCAUUUAUGGGAGAUGAAAGGCAAUCACAAUGGAUAAAGUCAAGAUUAAUGCUUUGUUUUCAAGUUUGCUUUAUUUUGUGUGUGGUGUGGUUUGAAUUAUGUUUUGUUUUUAAUUAUGUUUUAUUUUGUGUGUGGUGUGUUUGGAAUUAUGCUUUGUUUUUAAGUAUACUUUUAAUUGUCUUUGUUUUGUGUGUUGUUUGCAAUAAAAUAAGGUUUCUUUUUAAUUAAUCUUUGUUUUCAUGUGCAAAUAUUUUUAAUAAAUAGUCACAUUAUGUAAUGCUUUCUUUAUUGAAUAAAAGGGAAACAAUACAACAAUUGUUAAUACAUAUGGCAAAUCUUUCAAUCCAACCUAAUGGUUUUGAUCAUUUAACCAAUCCGUAUUGCUUGGUCCGUCGUCAUGGAAAAGUUUUAUUCUCAUUACAUCCCUUCGUUUCAUCUUCCAAUAGGACUUUGUUUCAGGAGACAUAUGGAUGGUAUCUAUGACCAUGAUUUUCAUCUCUCUAUCCUCCAUGUCUUUUUCUUGUGCCUGCUGCCUUUCAAUUGCAAAUACUUCAUGUUGUGCCUUGUCUGCUUCUUCUCUUUUCAAGUCUCUCUCAAGUAUCAGUGCACUAUUCUUAGCAACUUGCUCCAAAAAUUGUACACAUUUAUUGUUCGAAGUGCUCCCUUUCUUCGCCUUUGCCACCUUUCUCCCAAUAGGUCUCGGUGCACGUGGGAGUGGUGAGUCUUGAUCCAUUAGGGAGUCCAAUGGUGAAUCGAUUGCCGGCGAAUCGUGAAGCGGCGUCUCAUUCAAUACAACCGACGAAGCAGUGCAAAUGAUUUUGAAUCUUGAACAAUUCUUCACAAUUUCCCAACAUUGGUGACUGUAGAAACUUUUUUUGCCUUUCCCCGUGACACCGAACUACAUUUGUGCUUGUACGAUCUAUUAAAAAUAAAUAAUUGGAAAUGCAACCAAAAAAAUGAACAUGGAAGGAAAAAUAAAUAAUUUGGAAAUGCAAGAAAAAAAUUGAUUAUGCAACAAAAUAUAAACAAUUUAGAAAUGCAAGAAAUAAAAUAAUUAUGCAACAAAAUAUAAAUAAAUUAGAAAUGCAAGAAAUAAAAUGAUUAUGCAACGAAAUAAAAGCAAUUUAGAAAUGCAAGAAACAAAAUGAUUAUGCAACAAAAAAAUAUAUAUGGAAGAAAAUAGAAACAAUUUACAAAUGCAAAAAAAAAAAAAAUUUGAUUAUGCAACAACAUAUGUAUAAAUCAAAAAUACAAGAAAAAAAAAUUUAUAUGCUAGGAAAAAAAAAGUUACAUUAAAUUGCAUAAAACAAGAAUUAUAAAUAUUUUACCUCAUCGGUAAGAUUUUGACCGCUUCGAAUGUUGUCCCUCGCUUUUGCCAAGGCAUCCCUUCAUUUUCCUAACUCUUUAUUCAAAAUUUUCCACCUGGAUUGUAAGUAGGGGUGGGCACGGUUCGGUUUGGACCGGUUUUUGCCUCAAAUUAGAACCGAUCUGGUACUAUUCAUCCGAUUUGGUUCGGUUCGGUUUUAAUAAAAAAAAUUCAAAAACUGUCCGGUUCAGUUUGAACCGGUUUCGGUCCGGUUCCGGUUCCGGUUCAGUUUUGAACCGGAUUAUAAAAAUUAUUUUUUUAAAUUAUUUUUUAAUACAAUUCUCAACUGAAAUAUUAUUUUUUUACUUGAAAAUUAACAAAUUAUUCAAUUUCAUAUAAAAAAUAAAUAUUAAAGUGAGAAAAGAGAGAUAUUUUGACAUUGAACUUGGAUAAAUAUUAUGUUUUUUUAGUGAAAUUAAAAAUAUAGCAUUAAAUAUAAAUAUAUAUUGAAAUUAUAUAUUUUUUUUAGUUUCACCGAUUCGGUUCGGCCCGAUUCGGUUUUUGAAGACAUGGAACCGGAUCCAGAACCGGUCCAAACCGGUUCGGUUCGGUUUUUAACCGGUUUUUAACUUUUUGGUCAACUCGAUUUUUUUCGAUUUGGUUCGGUACGGUUCGGCUCGGAUUUCCGGUUCGCCGGUUUGAGUGCCCACCCCUAAUUGUAAGGCCAUUUCCGUCCGAGCCGAACCAGAUCUUUCAGCAAAUUCUUAAUGAAUUUUUUUCCACAUAUGAGAAAACUUUAUCUCAUUGCCAACAAUAGGGCAAUGACUAACUUUCACCCCAGACUCACACAACACAAUAUCUUCCACAGUAGUCCAAGCGCCUCUGGCUUCGGCAGAAGAUGCCAUUUGUUUUUUGAUACAAAUGGAAACUAGUAGAAAAAUGUGAGUGGAAUGGAAAAAAAAAUUGGAAAGAGAAGAGUUUGUAUGAAUAUUUGGUGUGAAAAGUGAAUACAAUUGAUAGGUAUUUAUAGGGAAAAAUUACAGUAUUUUUAAAAAAAAAUUUGAAUUUUUUUGGAAAUUUUUUUGCCAAAAAAAGGAGGGUCGUCGAAUUUCUGGAAAAAAACCAUUGCAGCGCCCAGGAAGCGCCAGGUGGCAUUUUUCCAUUGGCUUUAUGCUCGCUGACAUCACGGCUGACGUUAGCGCCUUCGGACUUGAGCCCAGGCAGAUUUUUGCCUGUGGGCUAGCCAUGGUUUGUGGGACUCAUCGCUUGCCCGGGCUGCUCCUUGCGCGUUAGAGGCCUUCUAGGCUCGCAUAGGGGGCCUUUUGCCUAGUUUUAGAGUAGGGGUGGACUUGCUCUUAAGUUGAAUGCAAUACCAAUUUCUCUAUAAUAAAAAAACCAAUGUUUCUUUUUUAAGAAUAAAAUUAGAAAAAUGGCUAAUGGGGUCUUCACUUGCAGAAAAACUUAGGUUUGUUCGUUAGCGUUUUUAAGGCCUCCUUUUAAUUUUUUUGUUUUCAUUUUCUACCAAAAACGCGUUUUCUGAAAACAAAUUCAAUACAAAAACUGAAAACACCGAAUUUUUAUUUUCAUUUUCUACCAAUUGUAUUGGUGUGAUUGCUUCUUCUUUUUUUCAUUUUCAAUUUUUUUUUUGGGUCUGAUUUAUCUUUUUUUUUUCUUCUUUUUAUUUUUUAUUUAUCAUUUUGCAUUUUUUAUUUUAUUUGUUGCACUUCAUUAUUUUAUUUUGUUACACUAGUUUAUAUUAUUUUAAUAUAAAACCAUCAUAUAUUAUUUAAUUUCAUAUUUAUUUUAAACUAAAGAUAAUAGAAUUUUUUAUCUAGGUUUUUCUAACAUUAGAAAUUUUUAUAUAUUUUAAUUAUACAUUUUUCAUUGUUUAUAAUAAUUUUAGCUUUUAUUUUUUAAAAAAAUUUAGAACAAAAAUUAGCAAAAAUAUACUUGAAAAAUAACUCACAUUUUAUUAUUCUCAAUUUUUCCUAGCAAACACGUUUUUAUUGUUUUUAUUUUCUAAAUCUGUUUUCCAGUUAAUCUACCACACGCAUUUUCGAAUCCUCAAUCAUUUUCUCGUUUUCAUUCCAAGAAAACAUUCUUCGUAAAUGUUACCGAACGGGCCCUCAGGUGUCGUUCAGUAUCGUUUUUAAGGGCCAUUUUUUGUUUUCAAACUCAGAAAACAUAUGGAUAUCUAUUCAGUGGGUUGUUUUCCGAAAACACAAAAAAUGACUUUUGAAAAUGAAUCCGAAUUUAUGCCUUGCAGACAGAAAACAUCCAAAUUACGUGUUAUGAAUUUUUGUUUUUAGUAAAACAUAUUCAUUGAAGUCGGAUCCUUGGCUUGAAUCAAACCCCCACCAUCACAGCCUACACCAUCAAACCCACCACCACCACAACCGUCAGACCACCUCUAUCGCCUAACCUCAUUGUCACCCUCCAAAACCCAGAAUUGCAUACAAACUCUCCAAAUAAUUGCUGUUUUCUCACCCUUCAAUCCACGGUGCCCUAGCCCAUUGUCCAAUGUAGAUUUGGCAUAACAAAAUUGUGAUUGGAAAAGGAAGGCUUCAUAUAUUUUUACAUGAGUCCAAGAGUCCCCACAUCACCACCACUCAAACUCAGCCAAGGGUGGUGCUAUGCACAAGGCAGGCUUGGUGCCUACCCAGCCCAAAUUCUUUCAACCCAAAAAAAUAAAAAAACUCCUACAUGUGUUAUAAGCCCAUCCCAAAAUUAAAAAAAAUAAAAUAAAAGCAAACUCUACACUUAUGUUGCCCAUCCAAGUGGUCUCAUAUCUUCUCUCUCCUUCUCUUUUGGCUAUUAGACUUCUUCUCUCUCUCUCUCUCUCUCUCUCUCUCUCUGCUACUCUAUAGCAGCAAGUUUCUCCCUAUUUUUUCUUUUUUGGGUUAAAUUCUCCCUCUAUUUGGUGGGUAACUUGGCAACAACAUCUUCUCCUCUCUUUUUGUCAACAAGUAUUAUUCUCAUUCUCUUAUUUGCUAUAUAUCUUUAAUUAUAG